rnacentral:lncRNA from 1 species
CACUCUAAAAUUUUCAAGAAGUGAAAAUAAAAAUAGUCAUGUGUUGUUUAAACAAAACCUAACAGUUUAAUAAAGUAUUCUGAGAAGUCUACUCACUGACCCACAGAUGGCACACCAAUGUAGCAAAUAGGAAACAGGCUGUUCUUAUUGUAGAAUUAGCUAACUUACCUUUGUGAGAAUUUUAUGAGGUCAGAGAAGGAAAAGUCAGGAAAGCAAAGAAGCCACCUCUGAUUACUUUUCUUCUCUAUGGAUUUUUGGUAGUUCUAGAUCCAGGCACCUUCUCGGUAUUAAAAUAUAUUGAGAAUUAUACUCAGACUGGAAGCUUAGUAUUCACUGAGUACUAUGAGCUGACUUUUUUCAAAAAGUGUAAAGGAAGUUGGUUGUGUAAGCAGGCCAAAGGGACUUCACACAGGGAACUUAUCUGGGUUUGUCCGUAUUGUAUUUUUUCUACAUGCAGAAUUUAUAUUUUUAUGUGACUAAGGAUUUGAAGAUUUUCCAUAGCUUGCUGUAUUUUAAAGCUGAGAGAAGAAAGGAG